rnacentral:rRNA from 1 species
UACGUAGGGGGCGAGCGUUGUCCGGAAUCAUUGGGCGUAAAGAGCGUGUAGGCGGCUCGAUAAGUCCGCUGUGAAAGUCCAGGGCUCAACGCUGGAAGGCCGGUGGAAACUGUCGGGCUAGAGUCCGGAAGAGGCGAGUGGAAUUCCCGGUGUAGCGGUGAAAUGCGCAGAUAUCGGGAGGAACACCAAUGGCGAAGGCAGCUCGCUGGGACGGUACUGACGCUGAGACGCGAAAGCGUGGGGAGCAAACAGG